AAUAUAUAUUUAUAUAUGAAGUAUAUAUACUUUUGCUUCUUAUGUUUAUAUGUUAUUAAACAGCUGGCAGUAUUCACUUCUGCGGCCUUAAGAAAGUGUUAAAAUGAUGUGUGUAUGUGGCCAUGAGGGUCAUCACAGAUAUGCUCCACUGAUGUGCUAAAAUGCUUACAUAUAAUAGGUCUUAAUACUCUACCUCCUGGUUCUCUCUGUGAAAUAGCAGUUAGAUAUAUUUGUUUAAAAUGUAUACAUAAUAUGGUAAUAAAGACUACAGGUAGUCAUUCCUUUGCACAGUUCUGACAUGCAUGAAUUUUAGUUACCACAUUUUAUUUUACCAUGUGUAACAUUUUAUAAUUUUACUUACUGUGAGAUAAGAGAAAAUAUAUAUUGGUCUCUGCCACCAAGUUCCUGGCACAGGGCUCCUGAAACCAUUGUAAUUUCCUGAGUGAAAGGAGUGUCUUUCGUUCUAAUGAGGCAACUCUGGGUGGGCACCUGCAUGAGGGCUGGUCACGGGAAAGAAUAAGUCAUAAUUAGAUGCUUGGAAUUUUCAGCCCCUCCCCCUAUUCUCUUGAGAAGGAAGAAGGGCUGAAAAUAGAGUUAAUUAUCGAUCAUUCCUACAUGAUGAAGCCUCCAUAAAAAUCCCAAUAGUAUGGGGUCCAGAGAGCUUCCAGGUCAGUGAACACAUCCACGUACAAGGAGGGUGACACACAUCAACUCCACGGGGACAGAAGCUCCUGUGCUCCAGACCGUCCCAGACCUCACCCUAUGUAUCUCUUCAUCAGAUCUUUCAAUAAACUAGUAGAUGUCAGUGUUUCCCUGAGUUCUUGCAAACUGUUCUAGCAAAUAAUCAAGUCCAUGGGGCAGGAGGUCAUGGGAAAGUCGAUUUGUAGCCAAGUCACACAGAAGUUGUGGAUAAGCUGGGGUCCUACUACUUGCGAUUGACAUCUAAAGUAGGGGCACUCUUGUGGGACUGAGCCCUUAACCUGUGGGAUGUGAUGCUAUCUCCAGGUAAUAGUGUCAGAAUUAAAUAGUAGGAUGACACCCAGCUGGUGUCGCAGAAUUGCUUCAUGUGGGGAAAAAACCCCACAUGUUUGGUGGCCGGAAGUGUCAGCAGUAAAGCGUCCUGUGUGAAAGUAAAGGAGAAGGGCACAGGAGGAGAACUGAAGGUUUCUGCAAUACAGUCACCAAGUGUAUUAGUUUCCUAGUGCUGCUGUAACAAAGUGCCACAAACUGAGUGACUUAAAACAACCGAAAUUUAUUCUCUUAGAGUUUUUCUGGAGGUAGAAGUCUGGUGUCGGCAGAGCCCUCAUUCCUUGCCCCUUAGAGCUUCUGGCAGCCCCAGGUGCUCCUUGGUUAAUAGCCACAUAACUCCAAUCUCUGCCUCCAUCUUCACACGAUGUUCUUCCUACCCAUCUUCACGUUGUCUUCUUACAAGGACAUGAGUCAUGCUGGAUUAAUGGCCCAUCCUAUUCCAGGAUGACCUCAUCUGAACUAAUUACAUCUACAACAACUCUGUUUCCAAAUAAGUUCACAUUCUAAAGGACGAGGGGUUAAGACUUCAAAUUAUUUUUCAGGAUCACCAUUCAACUCACAGCACAACGGUUUCACUAAAUAACACCAGUCCCCCAACAACAUGUUUCACAUUUCAGUUACCAUGGUAUAUUAACUGUGAGUAAUUGCAUAAAGUAAAAACCGUGCUGAUAGCUUUUGUUAAAAACAAGGCAACGGGCCCCAAAUGGAGUUGUUUAUUCUAAGCCCCAGAUCACCAAGCUGAGACUUGACCGAAUUACAGUUUCAGCUCUCCCCGAAAUGGAAUCUUAAACCAGUCAGUCAGGGAUCAGCUGAUAGCACUAGUUAGUAAUCUGCUGAUAGAACCCUGCCAUCUCCCAAAGGAAAGUAACCUUGCUGUAACCAACUCACUUUUUUGCCUAGUAUAACUUCCUUGUUCCUGCUCCCUUCUGCCUAUAAAAGUCUUUCAUUUUGUACCGCUCCUCAGAGCUCCUUUCUGUCUGUUAGAUCGGAUGCUGCCCGAUUCAAAUUGAUUUUUGUUCAAAUAAACUCAAAAUUUUUAAUAUACCUCCGUUUAUCUUUUAACAGUCUUCAGCACAAAAAUCACUAUGUAAAUAACAGACGCACAUCAUCAUCAGUGACCAAUCACGUCACUUCUUCAAAGUCUGUCGGUGACGGAUCACUGCGCAUAUCAUAGGAGUAGCAUUGCAAUAAGCAGCUAACACCCUUAAUGCUACAGAAACCAAGGAAAGAGGUUGGAAUUAUUAAAACUUAAAAGUUUAGAGAAAACUCCAUGUAGAGCUAAAAUCUAGACUUCUGAGGAAUAGGCGCUGAGGGGGCCGCAGUCAGUUGCUGCUGGUGUCUCUGAGGGUAUUGGAGGCAAAUUAAGUUCAUUCUGCUACUGCUGGGAAGUCUGCAAACUAGAUUCAGCUGCUUCUACAAGCAGGCACUGCUGCUGCCAGGGUGAAGAAGCAUUGUUGGGGUGAUGCUCACAGGAACCACAAGGAGACAGGAAGCAGACAGGAAGUGCUAGAAGCUUCAGCAGAUUUGCAGGAAGAUUGUGAGGAUGGAAGAGCAACAAGAUAGAAGACUGGGACCUUGAGGACUGCCGCUGCCCCACUUACUUCCAGCAUAAUAUGCGUGAAAGAGAAGAACUUGCAUCUGAUUGAAUUGUCUCUUGUUUUUAGGUUUCUGUGUUUCAUACUAAACGGAUCCUUGGAAUCCAUUAAGCACUUGGAAGUGGGUACUGUACCUAACAAGAACUAAAGUCGGGGUACUGGCCUAGAAGCUGGGCAGCAGGUGGUAUAGACUCCAAAUUGCAGCCUGAUGAUUUGAUGGCAAACAUUUCCCUGCUUUGGCUUGGAAAAGAGACCAUGUGCUGACCGAGGCUGUAACUUUAGGGCCAAUGACAGGAAAGAUGAAUGAUUUCUGUGUGUAUUGGCUCUUUCUUGACACUUUCAGCAAAGCCUUCCAGGCUUAAGACAGGCAGUAUAGAAACAGACAGAAGGGCCUACAGUUUUGCUACAAGAGGCCUGCAGUCCAAGUUGAUAAUUUGGGCCCUUGCAGGGAUGAGAAGAGCAACAGCUUCUGCACCCCAGCUCAACCAGGUGUAAGCAGUGGCUGAAAACCUACAGCUUUGGCAGGAGAUAAAACUAGUGCCUCAUUAUACAAAAGCAUCGACCAGCUGGCAGAGAGUAGAUUAAGGGUUGUUUCUUCGCACUCAAGCCUGUUGUAAACAACUUCGAGGUAGCUGCCAUUAAGAUGAGAGAGAAACGGAUGGGCAGAAUACCACAACCGAUAAGUAAAAGACAAGUCUUCAGGCUUAAAAACAAAAAACUCAAUGUCUCGACAGGCUCUUUGGCUGUGAUUACAAGGACAGAGAAUUGACAGAAAGUAAAUAAAAAUGCCUUCCUAUUUGAAAGAAUUAUAUUGCCUGCAAGGAAGAACUUCUGAAAUAGCAAAGCUAGAGGCCAGGAGGACUGGAUUAGUCUUCUGGGGCUGCCAUCAAAAAAUACCACUGACUGGGGGGCUUAAACAACAGAAAUGUAUUUUCUCACAGUUCAGGAAGCUAGAAGUCCAGGGUGAAGAUGUCAGCACAUUUGGCUUCUCCUGAGGUCUCUCUCCUUGCUGUGUAGACAGCCACCUUCUCACUGUGUCCUCAUGUGGCCUUUCCUCUCAUGACUCUUUCUCUUUUCUUUCAAGGACUACCAUCAUAUUGGAUUAGGGCACCACCAUUUUGACCUCAUUUAACCUUAAUUACUUCCUUAAAGGCCCUAUCUCCAAAUGUAGUCACAUUGGGGGUUGGGGCUUCAACAUGUGAAAGACAGUAUGUCAACAUAUGAAGGACAGUAAGUGAAAGAGUUCAUCAUAGAGGGCAGACCCAAGGGCUGCCUGGUAGGCUAAUCAAGGAACUCCAUUCCCAGGCCAGGCAGCCUUUGCGAUUCCUGCCCAGCAGAGUUCAAUAAUUUCUAUGGACCAGUGCCGACGGGGUUGUGUGAAAGUUUCCUGUUUUCUCCUUAGUCAACUGGAAUUUUAGUUAAAGUUAUCCUAGUCCUGUUUUACCAUUAUAUAUUGAGUAAGAGUGAAGGGAUAGGGCAAAUAACUUUUAGUUUGUGGGUUUCUGGACUGUGAGUGGCUACAUCUUGCCAUGAUGGGGAUGAAUGAAUUGGCACCCAGAGAUUCUGGGCUUUGAGUUUAAUGCAGUAACCAGAUGACACUUUGGAGUUAUGUCUCAAAGGGAGGGGGUCUAUAUGUGGAAAGAAAGAGCAUGUGUGGAUGAGUGGACUGUGGCAAGGACUGCUACUUGUCUCCUGCUUUGUUUCUUGAAAUAAAGACUACAUUUCCCAGCAUUCCUUGCAGCUGUGUAAUUUUUCCAGGAAGUGUUUUUAAAAAGAAUGGUCAAACCCUACCUUACUUUUUCUCCUUCCUGCUAGCUGGAAUGAGGACAUGAUUUUUGGAGCUUCAUUACCCAUCUUAGACUAUAGAGUAAAGCUGCCUGCUGUGCACAGCGGAGCAAAAAGAUCUAAAGAGCUAGAUCCCUGUCACUAUGGAAGGACUACCUCUAGGCUUCUUUUACAUGAGACAGAAAUAAACUAUACUUUUAAAGCCAGUAUUAUUUGGGGUAUGCUGGAUUAUUCUGUUGUCAGUUUGGCUAACCUGGGAAAUGUGUUUCCCAGAAUCCCCUUUCCUCUAUGAUUCCAGGUUAGAGUUGACCACAGAGGAAUUUGCUCAUAAUCUGGGAGGCAGAAGUGAAACAGUAUCCACCCUUCUGAAGGCCUUCAUUGUCCCAAGUGAUGAUGGGCAGACGUCAAGGUGCUCAGUGGGCUCAGCUUGUCCACUCUCCUCUGUUCUGUUGCAGGCUCUUUUUCUCAAUCGCUGGCCCUGCUGAUCAACAACCACCAGAUUCCCAGCAGUGGACAUACAGGGAUUGUAGCUGUGGAGAGGCGUAGCUUCCCAGAGUGCUGAGUGAGCUCCCCAUUUGCAGUCCCAUUUUGGCUGACGGAUGUGCUUGGCUUCUCUGAUUUCCUUUCAAGCUUCAACUUGUCCACCCACCCCCAAGAGCUUUGGGAGGAUUGCUUAGUUACUGUUCCUCCAGCUUCCCCUUCCGGAUCUUUACUUCCUCAGCUCCUCCCACGGUUGUAUAAGCUCUAAUUCUGUAAUAAGUCCGUCGUCUCAUAAUACACAUAGUGACUCUAUUCCCUCACUAAACCCUGACUGAUACAUUAGGUUUUAAAGCAUAUGUAGGCCACCUUUACGCGAAUGGAGACACUUACAUUAUCUCAUUAAAUCUUCCUAAGAACCAUAGGAAGGUGGCACUGUUAUUAUCUCCAUUUUACUGAUGUGGAAACAGGUUUAGAGAAGUUAAGUAACAUUCUCACUGUCAUGCAGCAAGUAAGUGGUGAAGCCGCGUUUGUAACCCAAUCUCCCUGCAAGAGCCCGAGGGCUUAACCUCUAUACCUCGAUACAUAUACACCUACUGUCCAGGAGUACUACUCUGAUUCUUAUCCCUUGUUGCUUUAGAGUUUUUAUCUUGAAAGUCCACCAUGCUGAGCAGAGAACCAUAUUAUAUGAGCAACAAUCAAUAAAGAUUGCCAAUAUGUCUCCAAGGUUUAGUUAAUGGCUUGGGAAGGAAUCAGUUUUAUUGACAGUCUGUUAGUUUAUUUCCACUUCAGCUCCCCAAAAGCAAAACCCCUGAUUAGGUAGAGCUCCACUCAAGGCAAGAGCUAGGGUCCAUUUUUUGGUUUUAACUAACAUUUAAAAGCGGAGGAAAGAUUAAUGUCACAUCCUUGGCAUACUGCCUACUGAAGCAGAGACUUUAGGCUAAGUUGUCACAAUCAGUUCUUGCAUGUGUGUGUGUGUGUGUACAAAAAGAAGCAUUAAUUCUCAUAAUUUUUAUUAAAUCACCCUGAAUUCAAGAGUUUCAAAACAACUUAACUCUUUAAAGAAGCUACACUUGAGAACAGACACAUUUGCAUACCUCAUAGCCCUUUGUCUCAACAUUUUAGUGUGUAUUUCCUAGGAACAAGAAUAUUGUCUUAUGUAACGAUUGCACAGUUAAUCCAAUUCAAAAAUUUAACAUUGAUACCUUAUUCUGUGACUCAUAUUCUGAUUUUGUCCCAGUAAUGUCCUUUAUGGGACUUUUUUUCUUUGAGGAUAGUGUUGAGGAUCACAUAUUACAUUUAGUUGUCAUGUCUCUUUCGUCUCCUUCAAUCUGGAAAAGUUCCUUAUUCUUUCUUUGCUUUUCAUAAUAUCAACAUUUUUUAAGAAUCCAUUCUAUUUUAUAGCACGUUUCUCAAUUUGGGUUUGUCUUAUGUUUCCUCAUGAUUUGAUUCAGUUUACGCAUUUCUGACUGAAAAAUAACCAGUCAUGAGUCCUUCUCAGGAUAUCAGUGCUGGUGGGCAUACUAUCUAAUACUUGGUUUUAUUCCCAUUGCUUUCUACUGUGGUGCAUAUAGUUUUUCCCCCCAAACCCAGCCACAAUCAAUUCUGAAAGAACAAAAGAGCAGGUCAGAGCCUGAAAUUGGGAUGUACAGGAAAAGGAAGUCAGACCGGUCUGACAUUUUUGGGAUAUACUAUACACACAUACCCACAGGGAAGGGAAGAAGAAGGUAGGCAACCUGGAGAGCUGCUAGAAAGUACUUCUGAAAUCUUCUAGAUCUCAGUACUUUAUAGGGAGUCAGACACCUCAUUUUCUUGGCCAGCGUGGAAGAUACUGUCAGUACCAUACCCGUAUCCCCACAACACUUACUGUUUCUAUACAUACAGACAACGUCCUAUGCUAGGGCAUGACUCUGACUGAGGACUUUCUCUCAGCCCAGGUGCACAGCAGGUUCUGAGCGCUGAGGAGUUACCCCUGGGAGCAACUCUCAGCUAAUGACUGAUAAGAAUUAGAGGAUAAAUACCCCAGCUUUCUCUCCCCCUGGUGGGACAACUCCCAGAGGCUCCCAAAAUGAUUGAGCCUCAGUUCCCCCAGUGGUAGCUUGGUAAUUAAUGUAACUGGUCUAGGCUUCCUCCCUUGCAUAUCUCAGUUCCCCACUCUCCUAAGAACGCUUCCUAGGAUCACCUCUCAAACUACUUGCUUUGAAAUCUUUUGCUUAGGGUCUGCUUCUAAAAAGUCUGCCCUAAGGCAGCUCAGUUGCGAGGCUGCCCCAACAUAAUUGGCUAAACGUCUCCAUUUCAUCAAGCUUGAAAUUCUACCCCUUGGAAAUGCAUAUGGGGUGUCAGUAUUAACUUGGGAAAUUCAAACACCCUGUGCAGGAUUAAAAAGUGGCUGUUAUAUUUUUUAAUAUCUUAGGGAAAAUUAGUUGGUUACAUUGCUUUCCUUUUAUUAAUAUUCAACCUGGCCUCAGUAUUGCUCAGAAGAAUCAUUAACCACCAAGAUGUAAGUAAAUUCCUACUGCCUCAUUCUGGAGCAGGCUUGAUAGAGUUGUUUAUGAAGGAGUAUGAUCUCAACUCUACAUCUGCAAUCUGGAGUUGAGAGACUGAAUAUACAGAUAGACAAUGGCCAGAUCAUAUAUAAAAACACAUCUUUUGACCCAUGAAGGGGAUCAAAACAUGCCACCCAAAAUAUGCCAUUUGGCAUAUUUGUGAGCUGAAGGCAAUUGAGAAAGAGUGAUGCCGGAAGGACUCUGUGCCCUCUCCCUUUCCGCCUAAAAGCAGGUCACAAACUUCCCGUUAGAAAGGUGGCCUCCUGGCACCAGGAAGAAGAGAACAUUCUUAUCACCAGAGACAGAGAGUCACUUUCCCACAAUUUACUGCCCGUAGAAACCUAAACCCCUUUUCUUUGUCUAGUCAUUUCCCUGCAUAUUAUAGCCCUUGGUUAAAAGGGUAUAUCAGGCUCUGAGUCUAACCACUUCUUUGGGGUAUUCAGUUCUUCACUAUGAAGCCCCCAUGGCACGUAAAAAUAUUCACAUCAAAUACAAUUUGUACGCUUUUCUCCUCUUACUUGGUCUUUCGUUAGCUUAAUUUUCAGGGCCCAGUCACUGAACAUAAGAGGGCAGGGGAAAAGUUUGUCCUCCUAUAUGCCAACAACCUGAAGCAAACUGCCCAGGAAACCGAUCUAUUAUUUACAAUGGCCAGCUCAGAAAGCUGGCAUGCUAUAAGUCAGACUUGCAGGAAGUCAGACUGCUAUCUCUACUGAUAGUUCGAGAAACUAACACCUAAUCCUGUGACAACCAGCCUCAAAUGGCCAGGACUUGAUUAAUAACUGAAGGCUUCCCUAAUUUUUGUCCCCAAUUCCAACUUACAACCAGCCAGAGAAAGCGAUAUAUGCAUCCCUAACCAAUCACAUAACCUGCCUCACUUCUAAUCAGGCCACCUACAGGUUCCCCAUGCCAACAGCCUUUAUUUAGGGUAUAUUUGAAACCUUCCCCGUUUUCCACUAUGAAGUUUUCCACUUGUUUGCCUGCCUUUGAGUCUCUGCUGUUGAUACAAAUAAUCCACAAUCAAUCUACAAGUCAAAAUUGGGGUGAGUUUAUUAUAUGAGCCAGGUUGAAGACGACCUUCACCAAGGAAGGAAGCCCUCCAAAGAAAUGGGGUAUACAGAGUGGUUACAUACUAUCUUGUAACAAAGAGCAUACAUCACAUAUGACAGGAGUAUCCUUUUUACAACAGUCAUGAGCUAUCUUGCUGGCACAGCAGUUCAGUGGUCACGAGGUGAGCACAGCAAGUGGGUGAUCAGCAGCUCAGUGGUCAGGAGAUGAGUUAAAGCAGGUCAGUAAUUAAUCCUUAGUUUCUGGGGAAAAAAAUGCUUAUCCUUAAAGAAAUGCUGAUAUGGGGGAGGCAACAUCCCUAUCUGUAAGGUCAUCAUUUUUGGCUUUGGGACAUUGUAAAAGUUUAAAGCAGAUGUACAGUGCAUGCUCAACAGGCCAUGGCAGGCCUCUCUGGGGAAAAAAUGUCAGGCCGAAUUAGUUUUAAACCAAAUGGCCUCCACAUAUAGUCCAAUACAUCCUAUUGCUUGUCAUUUAUUCAUCACUGCCAAAACAUAGUAAUGGUGGUUGACUCCCUUGCUAUAGCAAGCUCUGAAUAAGUAGCCUUCACUUGUUCUCAUUUGGUUGGUCUUUGUUUAUUUCCACAGUGCUGACCUUAGUAAUUAUACCUUAUUCUCUCCAUCUACAUUGUCCUAAUAUGAAUGCCUUGCUGUUUUAAAGUUCCAAAUAUAAGGAUGUUUUCUAUCCCUGGAUAAGAUUGCACUUUAAUCUCAGCAAUACUGCAAUUUUAGGACACAAAGAGAUAAAGGCAAUAGGAAUUCACAUAUCCUUUUCCCCCUAUCAAAUUCACUCACAAAAACAAUAUUUAGACAUUACCAGUAUUGCAUUUGUCCCUCAUCCUUUGCCUGAGGUGGGAAUCUUCAACUGUCUGAAGUUUCCUAGUUCCUAGUUCCUAUCAUCCUGCAUCCUCAGCAUCUGAGGGCUGAAGACUCUAACGUGGCUGCCUGCAGCUUUGCUGUUGUGUCUCUUUACAGAACCUUCCAGGGGACGUGAAGCAGUGUCUUAACCCUGUUAGGGUCCAUGUGGUGUAACUGCCUUAUAACCUCCUAGGCUGGUUAUUUAUUUAUUUGUUUUCAACCCUCGUUCUCACACUUAGUGCUCUGCUGUUUGUUGUAAGGUGCUUAGAUUCUGUAACCUACUUUUACUAGCUGGUUUUUUGAUCAGAUUCUGCCAAUGGAGGGAGAUUAAAAGACAGGAGGAGGACAGAUGUGACUCUUCUUUUCGUUUCAAACAGCAGUUGAAACAACAAAGACUGCAACCGUGAUAAAAAGAAUGGAGGUGGCAAUAGCAUUGGCGGCAGAGGCAACAGUAGUAACAAUGUGUGGGGCAGAGGAAGCUACAAUGACUCCAAAAGCAGCCCAGGCUUGCAGGCUCCUGGACUGCAGCUCAGGUAGCUGGAUUCUAGUAACACGCCCUAGCUGCACAUACCCUUGGUCUGUGCUUAACCAUUUUGUUCCCUCAGCCUAGAAAUCGUAGUCCUUUACUACUCAUUGAGUAACCUUCCCUUCUUCAGACUUCUCAACAAACUUGAACCAAUUCCUUUAUGUAAAUCUCUUCUGGUUGAAAUAACUAGAGUGGUUUUUGUUUUCCUAAUUGCAUACUGAAUGAUAAAGAUCCUCAGUGGUGACAUCCAGUUAGAAUUCUACCCAUAGUGAAAUCUCAGUGCAUCUUUCUUUUGUUCUAUUUGGGGUUUGAAGGGAUAAGUUUUCUGUCUCUCUCUUUUUGGGAAGAUAUUCGCCUUAGGGAAAGAGCCUCAAGCAGUGGAUUUGCAUAGAUUAUUCAUUCUCUCUUGGUGCAAAUAUGCAAAUAUAUUCCAAGAAAGGACUCUGUGACCUUGAGCUACUUUGCUUAAGGAUAACAGUUGUAAUACUUUAGUACUCUUUGUUUAUAAAUAUAAAAAUAUAAACAAUAAAAUAAUAAAUGUUAAAAAAAAUUCUUUGCUAAGCCCCAUGUGGAGCUCUUCCAGAAUAUCUCCCAUAAUACAGGUUUUCCGGGUCAGCAGUCGGAGGUAUGGUGAAGAGUUGUGGAGGUAACGUAACGUUUGUCAUCCUCAAACACGUUUCUCUCUGUAUGAAGCCCAGUGAUGCACUGGUGUGGAAGCACUGGUUGUUUUUAAAAAAACCAAAAGACCCACUUCUCUGGCAAUAAAUAAAAAACCACUGCCUUAAGCCCAUGAGUCUCUCCUCAUCCUUGCAUCCCUGACUAUUCUGGCCUCUUCCCUAGAACCUCUCAGACUUCCUAAGGUCAAGCAACUAAAGGGUUAAUGACCCUGCUUCAGAAUUGUGACCACUGUCCUUUCUGAUUGGUUGAUGUCCAUGCCAGUCACUACUGGGCUGGGCUCUGACGCCCACGUCUCCUGUCCUACGGUGCCCCUGCCUUAGUGAGAGUUAGAUCCUAAGCCCAGUGAGGAAGACAGGGCCUCUGAUUUGGUGCUGGCACUCCAGCGUUAAAGACUUAGGGUCCAUCUAGGCACCCCUUGCUGAUGAUCCCUCUGAGUGGCCCUCAUAUGACUGUUGUUGGAAGCUGCAAUUUCUGUAGAAUUUUGGCUCUGAGCAAAAGAAGGAGAGAAAACGCAGUUGGGUAGGUCAUAGUCCAGGCAAAUGCAGCCAUGGAUAGAGAGAGCUCUGUAUUCUCUGCUGGCAUUGCAGAUACUGCCAAAACAGGAGGGAGGGUGCAGGAAAAGACAAGGCUCUUAGGGAAGUUUGGAGCCAAGGGUGACCUGGGGUAUGGGUACCAGUUUUCAAUAUCCUUGUUGAAUUUCACCUCUGCUCGAUGUGAUGAAUUCAUUAAAACUCACUGAAUGCCUACUGACCAAGGACAUUAACAUUAAUUUUAUUAAUAAAUAUGUUAACUAAUACUUACAGAGCAUUUUCUCUGUGUCAGGUUCUAUUCUAAAACUAUAUUAACUCAUUUAAGAAAUCAUCAUCAACCAUAUUUUACAAAUGAGAAAACUGAGGUACAGAAAAUUAUUUAAAAUUUAUCUAGCAAGCCAGCAUGAACCCAGGCAACCUGGCACAUGAGCACACAUUUAACUGCCUUUCUUCUGGCCUGAAGGAUUAUCUUUGUCUUAUUUUUUAAAUGGCAUUUUCUAUUUGAUUGUUGAUAAUAUGUAUAUUGAUUAUAUAAAAGUCUAAUUAUUAGGAAAAAAAUUUUACUGAAAAAUUUUGAAUGGAUUUGCUUUAGUUCAAUGGAAACUGAGAAAUCAGCACCAUGAAUAAAACUGCUGGUUGUAAGACAAAUUUAAAACUUGUUUAUAUUACAGGUCACGUAAUGACUAUCGAUUCAAUUGAAAUAUUGUUGGAAGAGUUUUAUGCAGUUCUUUCCAUGAAAUCAUGGCUCAUACUGGAGCAUCAUUUAGCCAGUGAGAGCUGCAUAGAAAGGGGAGACACUUGGACAAUAAGCAACCAUCAUCUGGGUGUGGCUCCGUUUGGUGCUUGACGACUCACUCGUCUCCCUCUGCUGGCCGAAUGAAGCAACGCGUCACCAUGUCCGAAGGCCUUUAGAGCAUGUCUCAAUUAUACGUGGAAGCACGAAAACCAGGCUGCUUUCCUAAGAAGCGUCCUCAAUACCUUGUUUCUUCUGCAUUUUAUUUGCUUUACCCAUGUGCAUAGUACAGGGCUGUUUGAAAGAGGACCACAGAUGUUUUGCUUCUAUAGUAUUACAAGGGGUUAAUUAGAAAUUAACGAUUUAAAAUUGGCCCCCAAAUCUGAAAGCAGAACCAAAAAGGUGGUUGUUUCUCCUAGGUUAAAAGCCAGAGUUAAAUUGCUCAUUUAAGUGUUUAGUUUCAGUAGAGCAUAAAGCCCUGGAAAAAAGCCAAUUAUAACAGUAGAUCUGAAAAAAGCUAUUUUUAUUCUCAAGAGGGGGAAGGCUGGCCUUGCCUAAGUGAGUCCGUAAUCUGAGAAAGACGGGGGUUUGGGCUAAGAUAAUCUUUGAAAGGUUUGUAAAAAACGUGAAGCCAUUGAUUGAAUUUGUUUUCAUGAGAUUUAAAAAUCUUCAGUAAUUACUGUGGGAAGAAAAAGCGGUGUCUGCUCUGUUGAGGUCAAGUAACCCAGACCGCCUUCUCGUGGUUAGAUCAGCUCUCACUGUGGGGUCUUCACACCUACCACUUCACAUGCUGAAAAUGCUGCUCCCUCUCCCAGCUCCUCCUACUCCUUGGUCAGACCUCCCCUUACCUGUCACCGCCUCAGAGAAGCCUUCCUGAACACUUGGUCGGAAGUAGAUUCUUUACGCUGUGUUAUCUUCUCCAGGGCAUCCUCUUUUCCUGUUGCAGUACCACGAUGACUCACAAUUAUAUAUAUAUGUGUGUUUUCUUGUAUAUUCUCUUUCACCCUCACGAGCUUUCUAAAUCCCCUAAGGGUCAUAGGCUGUCUGAUCAGAACUGUAUAACCAGUUUUUGGAAUAGUACUUGGCAAAAAGUAAACAAGGAAUAAAUAUUUGUUGAACAGAUAAGUUAAAUUCAGAUACUGUAUCUCGAUCCCCAGUUUACUACUUUCUGGAUUCUUCUUUCAUAUCUUGUAGCUUUUUCAAGACUUAGUCUGUGUUCUUUUUCUCUUGUGAACUCUCAGUAACAGCUGAUUUGUUUUAGGAUUCCUCUUCCCAUAAUGCGAGAGCCACUGAGUGUAAUGGAAUCUUCACGGUUCCUAAAAAAAAAGAGAAAUAGACUAAUCCUGUAAUUCUUACAGUCUGUGUUUUCUCAUCUGUUGUACUUCAUUUUAUUCUGAGAUGGGGUCCCCCUGGGCUUUGACUUCUGAGUCUGGAGUUGUCCACAUGGUGCUCCCUCCCCUCCCACCAAAACCUUCCCUCCAACUGGGGAAAGGUGUACGAUUCCCUCUUCAGAAAAGUCUCUUCCUCCUGUCCAGAGACAGACUCCUCCAAGCAGAGGUUUAAAUUCCCUGGAAUUUCAAGUAGGCGAUUUGCAUUUCUGAGAACCUUUAGACUAGAUGUCAGUCAUUUCUUUGGACUUCAAGCCCAACACAAGAGUAAUCCCUCCGGGGCAUUUCUUUACCUAGGCAAAAUAGCUGUUAUUACUCUGUCCCGAGAGUUGUGCUAGGGUUUGGAGGACUUUUGUGACAUGUGGCUUUAUUCUGUAUUCAUUGAAAGAUUUUGAUUGAUGGUUAUGUAACUGUUAGAAUUGCCCUAGCUGCCUACAAAAUGCUGUGACUUUCUCUCCUUUUAACUGGUAUUGGGUAAUAGUUAAGAGACUAAACAUGAAGGUCAGAAAAACUCAAAGCUCUAAGGUCUUGGUUUUCUCACCCAUUUUGUUUUUCCUCUACAAAAAGGGGCUGUCACUUUACAAACUUGUAAUAAUCGUUAUAUAGCAUUUAUAGAGCAACUACAUUAUGCUAGGUACUGUUCUAUAUAUAUAAUACUACUGUCAUAUAUUCACAUAUGAAAUAUCUGAUUUUAUAUACAAAUAAAUUUAUGUAUAUUUAAUUCCAGGCCCCCUUUGGGAUAGGUACUAUUGUCCUUGUUUUACUGUGGAGGACAUGGAGGCACAGAGAGGUUAGAUAUUCUGGAGAAAGAUUCAAAUCUGUGUGAACACAUCUGCUAAGUGAUCCACUAUUUUUUUGUGGCUUCUUGUGAUGGAGGGGUGAGCAUGAUUCAAGGUCUCCUUCUCUAGACUGCUGUGUGCUCUGAGAGGCAGAGGCUGGCCUAUAUGAACUGUACCAACAAGCUUCCUUGCUCUCUGGCUUCCUAUUGGAUCUGGCCAGGGGGGAGCAUCCAAAGGACAUCAGAGGGCAGGAAAAGACAUGGAGAGACCGUCUGCCUGUGACCAUCCUGGACAACGCCUGCUCGUCUCUCAGCAUCUCCGCUCAGUCCUGCUUCCUUGGUGAAGUCUUCCACAACUCCCAAGGUGGAGAGUUCGGAGCCUUGAUCCACGCUGAAUCAGUUUGACUUCUGGAGGGACUGGAGACUGAAUAAAGGCAGUCACGUGGGUGCUCUAUGCUGCUGUGACCAAUCUCUAAUAGAAACCAGGGACGCCAAGGCUGAGGUGAGCUUCCCUGGUUGGCAUUAUUCCACACUUGUCACACAUUGCUGCUGAGGGAAGCAAAUGUCUGUAAGUGCUGAUUAUAUUGUAAGUGAAUGUAAGUGAGGCCAUCUUUUAUGUGACUCUGUGUGACUACUCACUGCUCUGCACGUACUCUAAAAUAAUUCACAUGCUCUCCUGAUUUAUGGCCUCUGCUUACGUAUGUACUGCCCUAUAGCUUGAUCAAUUAAAAAUUUGUUCUACAAGUUUCUUUCCAGGAACAGGCUGACCACAGGCGGGAAAUACACCUACAAGGUAUCCAUCACAGCUGACGGAAGAAUGGAACAAUAAAAGACCCUGGAUUCUGUCAUGCCUGAAGGCUUACUUUUCCAAACCUCCUCCUUAAUCCCUAUUUUCCCUAUAUAACUACCUCAAGAUUCGGUAAUUGUUGAAGAUGGGUUUUUUGAGACUUUAGUCACCCAUCUUCUGAUUUUGCCCGCUAAUCCAGUUAAAGCUUCCUUUCUUCAUCCCUCACUCGUGGUGAUUUAUUGGCUCAGAUCCCGAUGAGCAGAGCCCAUUGCUCAGUAACACAUAUGACUCCAAUGGGAAAGGAAAACUAAAAGCUUAUUCCUGGUCUCCCCUGGACUCCACCCUGUGGACUUUCUACCUUUGCUCAUUUUAAUCUGUAGCCUUUCACUAUAAUAAACGGUAACCAUGAGUAUAACAUCUUUUCUGCUUUAUAUGAGUCCUUCUAGAGAAUCAUUGAAUCUGAGGGUGGUCUUGAGGACCCCUGUCACAGCUGCUUAGAAAAGGAAUGGACUUUGAGAUUAUUUGCAUGGGUUUAAGACUGCUGUGUGGAUCUUUUUUUGUUUUUUGAGGAAGAUUAGCCCUGAGCUAACAUCUGCUGCCAAUCCUCCUCUUUUUGCUGAGGAAGACUGGCCCUGAGCUAACAUCCGUGCCCAUCUUCCUCUACUUUAUAUGUGGGACACCUACCACAGCAUAGCUUGCCAAGCAGUGCCAUGUCUGCACCCGGGAUCUGAACCGGCAAACCUCGGCCGCGGAAGCAGAACGUACACACUUAACCACUGCGCCAGUACAAUGCCCCAGCUGCUGUGUGGAUCUUGAUCAAGAGAAGACAACCACACCCUCACUUCUGGAGGUAGAUCGUCAUUAGUUUAAGCCAAUCAACAGAUGACAUUCCUCUGGCUACAAUUGGUCCAGGGACUUAAAAAGGAAGCCUAUACUCCCAGUUGCCCUUGGCAGUCAUCUUUCAACUACAAGGGGAACCAGCCAUAGGAUGAACCCUAUGCCAAGAGGAACAGACACCUGAGACCUUGAUUAUGUCGUUGAGCUCCACCUGGAGCCUACAUUAGGAGGACUUCCUGUUAUAUAGAGUGUUAUGGACUGAACUGUGUUCACUCCAAAUUUGUAGGUUGAAGUCCUGAUCCCUAGUACUUUAGAAUGGCACUGUAUUUGGAGAUAAUUAAGGUUAAAUGAAGUCCUAAGGGUGGGCCCUAAUCCAAUAUGACUUCUGUCCUUGUAAGAAGAAAGAGAGACACUAGGGAUACAUGAGCACAGAUGAAAGGCCAUGUGAGGACACAGCAAGAAGAUGGGGACCAUCUGCAAGCCCAGGAGAGAGGCCUCAGGAGAAACCAGCCCUGUUGACACCUUGAUCUUGGACUUCCAGCCUCCAGAGCUGUGAGGAAUAAAUUUCUGUUGCUUUAGCCCUCCAGUUUGUGGUGUUUUGUUUCGUUAGCCCCAGCAGACUAAUACAUAAGGAGUUGAUUCUAAGAGUAAUCCCCGAUAAAGCUCCCGCAGGCAAAUCUCUGCCUCAGAAUUUGGUUCAUGGUGAAUUCAUCCCGCAACAACUGGUGCCUGAGUGUCUGAGAUAGCAGACUCUAAGAGGGGACUUUGGAAAUGGAUCACUCAUGGGCCAAGUAUCAACGGGAGCCCCGUCCAUGUUGGUAGAAAUAGCAAAUAGUCCAUGGCAUGCUGUAGCAGGACAAUGUUUAAAACUUUCACCAAUGGUGAACUUGGAUCGUAUAUCAGCGGAAGGAAUGCACUGAUGGAUUCAAAGUAACACUCAUUUCAGAAUGACAGAGGAAAUAAUAAAUACAAGGACAAUGAAAUUGGUUGGUUAUUUCUGAGGGCCAUGGAAUCUCUGAAGAAACAUAAUGAAAGGGUGAUUAGUUAUCAAUUAAAGGCUAAGUACGAAAGCCAGAGGGCCUCCUUGGUAGCAUAAAAGAGACUCAUCUUCUGCAGCUGUAGGUCCCCAAAAAGCUGAGGGUGACAAGAGUAGCAGAGCUCUAGAGAGAAUUAAAUUCUCAGCCACAGCAAGUCUGCUCUGCUCAAGUCAGGGCUCUGACUGGGGAGGAGCAGGCUCCUGAGAUAGGGGAUGGAGAUGUCUGGCUUGAUGCACUUGACAGUAUUAAAUCCUCAGAUUCCUCUCCAGACGUGGCUCACUCUGUUAAAGGCUAAUUCUCUCCCUUCAGGGAAGUAGACAGUUCUCUCCCUAAAUAAGCAAGUAGACAAUGACUGUUUAUGUCACCCAGGCUCUGUCAUCAGUCACCCCAGUGCUGGGUACUGCGUACAGGAACAGGGUAGACAUGGUAGCAAGGACAGAGCCCACGCCCUGGUCCUACAGAAUGGGUUGCCACAUACCAGGACUGAUCCAGCUGUUGUUGCUGCCAAAUGCUGCUGAGACCAACCCUAGGCCCCUGAUAUGCCACUUGGUGGCAAGUUAACUACAUUGGAUCUAUUUCAGCAAUUCAUCUCGACUGGAACUGACACACAUUCUGGGUACCACUCGUGUCUAUAGGACCUCAUCCAGCAUCAUUAUCUGAGAGCAUACAAAGUGUUUCAUUGCUGACAUGGGAUCCUGGGUGACAUCUCAUUGGACUAGGGGACCCAUGUUACAGCAUAGGAGAUAUAGCAGUUCAUACAUGAUCUUAAGAUCCGCUAGCCCUAUCACAUACUAUUCCACAGAGAGGCUGCUGGUUUGAUAAAGUGAUGGAACAGCUUUGAUUAAAAACAGAUGUAAUAAAACCCAUUGAGGUGCCAGCUUGGAGAGAACUCAGAGAGGAUGUGGGCACCAGUCUCCAGGAUCAGUAUAUAUCUUUUUUUUUUUUUGAGGAAGAUUAGCCCUGAGCUAACUACUGCCAGUCCUCCUCUCUUUUGCUGAGGAAGCCUGGCCCUGAGCUAACAUCCGUGCCCAUCUUCCUUUACUUUAUAUGUGGGACCCCUACCACCGCAUGGCGUGCUAAGCCGUGCCGUGUCCGUACCCGGGAUCCGAACCGACGAACCCGGGGCUGCCGAGAAGCGGAACGUGUGAACUUAACUGCUGCGCCACCAGCCAGGCCCCUCAGUAUAUAUCUUAAAUCAACUAGCAUUGUAUAAUGUUGAGUCUCCAGUAAGCAGAUGUGAUAGAGUCAUUUACAGCUGGACUGGAAAGACUGUCUCUUUGUCUCUGGAGGUGUCUGGUUUUCGACUCUUAGCCAAGAUAAGAGCAGUGGGAUUUAUGAUGUGCUGUCAAAGGCCUGAAACUCCCAAGGCCAAUUUCUUUACUGACAGUCUUCAACUGGCCUAACCGGCUUGACAAGCCUGGCCAAGAGUGCAUGAAAACUCCAUUGGGAACUUCUGCAUUUAGACUUCCCAAAGCUAAGCUUCCUUGCACAGAUAUUUGGUGGUUUGACCCAGAUUCAGAGUGCAAUUGUGUUCGAAUAAGGACCCUGGGAAGUUAUAUAUGCAAUAUCUCUGAGACUUCCAAUGUAUGCUCAAGCUUGCCAUCUCUUACUGCAACGUAUUAUUUGCCUUUAAAUAAAAGCCGUAAGUGAGUCUGCUUAGUCCUUUCAAAUCUCUGAACUUGGGAAAUCUUUGCAGUAAAAUAUAUGGGUCUGGGAAACAAUGGAUGAGUGCAGGAUUGGCUCCACUAACCAUCACUCCCCAGUAACGCACUGGGGAAGCUGUGUUCACUGUCUCUGAAACUCUGCAGAUUUGAGAUCCUGCUUCUCAAAGAGGAAACACUAGGGGACACAGCAAGUGUUUCAUUAAACCUUAAGCUAUAGCUGUCACUCAGUUUCUUCAAACUCAUUGUGCCAAAAGACUUGCAGUCAAGGAAAGGAUUCACCAUCCUGGGAGAAGUAAUUAACUCUCAUCAUCAGGAAAGAAUAUGUUUGGCAACCAUGUGAUCUACUUGGCUUCUUGAUACUCCCUUGCCCAAUUUUUUUUUUUUGAGGAAGAUUAGCCCUGAGCUAACAUCUGCUGCCAAUCCUCCUCUUUUUGCUGAGGAAGACUGGCCCUGAACUAACAUCUGUGACCAUCUUCCUCUACUUUAUAUGUGGAACACCUGCCACAGCAUGGCUUGCCAAGCAGUGCUAUGUCCGCACCCCGGAUCGGAAGCACCAAAGCGGAACGUGUACACUUAACUGCUGUGCCACUGGGCCGGCCCCCCAGUUUUGACUGUGAAUGAACAAGUAAAAUAAGCACAUCUGGAGAAGGGGAUGAUGACCAGGGUCUUAGACCCCACAGGAAUGAGGUUCUGGGUCACCCCACCUAGGUCCUUUAAAAUCCUAGAGGAGCUGCUCUUAGAACUUAUUUGAAGCGAGUGGAUCCGAGAAGCCCAGGGAUGGACUGUGGACCACCCAGACCCCCAAAGGCAGGACGGAAGCUCCGAGUCCCCCAGCUGCUGAGAAUGGUGUCAGCCAACAGUUCUCUGCCGAGCCUUUCUCCAGGACCCGGCCUUGGUUGAAGAGUGCCGCCUUGCCGGAGGCCUCCCCCGUCCCAGGCGUAGCUCAUACCCAAUGUCUGGUUGUUGUGGGGAUAUAAAAUCCUGAUCCUCUUGCCCAGUUUGGAGUAACUCUGGAGUGUCAUCCUGUCCCUAGAGUUCCCUUUAGGAUUAGCUGAGGCCUUUGUUGUGACUGUGUCACUGUUCAACUUUUCUCUCUGCUCAGUUUUACUUCUUUUCCACCCCCAGAGGUUUUGUCGUUGAGAGUGCUCCGCACUAAACAUUCUGCACUCAAUCUCUGUCACAGUUUGCUUUUCAGGGAACUCAGCCAUCUGAAGGCAUCUUUCCAAACCCGGCCUAGUCCCCACGGAGCCCGUAAUUGCCCUCUCACUUUUGAUGGAAGACUACAACGGUUCUCAAACAGUAUUUCAAGGAAGCUCUGGGUGGAGGUGCUUCACUGCAAGUGUUUAAUUUCAAUAGCAUUCCUGAAAGACCAUUUUAACCAUGAAAACCACAAAAACCAACAAUAAGCACUAUUGCAACGAUAAAAACUAUUUUAAAACUGUGAACACAGAAAUGUAAAUGUGUUCUAUACUAAAUUUUACACAUCUUUGACAGUGUAUUAACUUGUGGUGCCAGCUCAUAUCAUUUCCGGGCAGACCUCAGAAGAAAGUUUCUCUUUCAUUAUGGCGCAUAUAUUUCAACUCUUAAAAUGUGUUGCCUAAUGAUGGGGACACAUUCUGAGAAACGCGUCGUUAGGUGAUUUUGUUGUGCCAACAUCAUAUAGCUUGCUUACACAAACCUAGAUGGUAUAGCCUACUACACACCUAGGCUGGAUGGUACUAAUCUUACAGGACCACCGUCAUACACACGGUUCGUCGUUGACUGAAAUGCCGUUAUGUGGUGCAUGACUGUAAUUAUUAUUAUUAUUUUUUAAAGAUUUUAUUUUUUCCUUUUUCUCCCCAAAGCCCCCCGGUACAUAGUUGUACAUUUUUAGUUGUGGGUCUUUCUAGUUGUGGCAUGUGGGAUGCCGCCUCAGCAUGUCCUGAUGAGUGGUGCCAUGUCCGCGCCCAGUAUUCGAACCAAAACCCUGGACCACCACAGCGGAGCACACGAACUUAACCACUCGGCCACAGGGCCGGCCUCUAUUUUUGAAUAUAUAAUACAGGUACACAUUAUAGAACUCAAAAAGUACAAAGGAAUAUAUAUAAAAUACAAUAAAAAUUCCCUUCCACUCCUGUCUUCUGGUUUCCCAGUUCCCUUGCCAGGGGAAACCAUAGCUCUUAAUAUUCUAUGUAUUACUCUACACACACACACACACACACACACACACACACUUUUCUCCCCUGUAUACACUGUUGCAUAUGUUUAACACUGUUUUACAGAUUGUUAACUUUUUUUGUUAAAUUAACAUAUCUUCAAAAUUUUUCUUUAUGGAAUAAAAU
rnacentral:lncRNA from 1 species